GCUUCCGAAUCUCUAUCCUUGAUUGAAACCUUCUAAUGUCUCACUCCAAAAUUAGAACCAAUUCUUCUGCUCUUCAAUGGCUUUCACCGCCUCAGACCUCCAACAAAACGUCCCCGUUUUAGUCCUCUCUCAUGUCCAAUCUCAUUCUCAACUUCAAAUCAAACAAUCGGAAGGUGAGAAGAAGAAAACGAUGACGUCUGGGUUUUUCGGAGAUGUGUUCUACGGCGGAGGUGGUGCAGGGACCGGCGGAGCGAGGGCGGGGAUGGCGAGUUUCCGACAACAACAACAAUAAUAACAGCAGCAACAACCGCGGUCGAAGUUGAAGGAUGGUUCUGUUAUAUUUUUUGAGAGAAUAUCACGUGAGGAAUCCGAAAAAGUUGAGACGAUUAGCUUCGAGAAGAGCAGUGAUACGAUGCCCUGUCAACUAAUCGCUCGAUGCUUAUGGAUUUUGUUGUUGCUCAAUACUGUGAGAUGAAGGUUAAGAAGGGGUAGUUUUUGCGCUGUCAGGCUUUGUAAACCCUGAGCGAGGUAUUUUGCUGUCACAAGCUUUAGAAAUGGGGGCUCGAUAAUUUUUACAGCCAUAUAUUGGAGUAAAUUUACAGCCAUAUAUUCCAUCCCGAGCGAGCUCACACCAGGUUAAUAACUCAAGAGAGCACUGGAAAAGAGCUGCACAUUCAGUCAAAAAAUUAAAUGAUGAUGGAACAUUAAGAAUACAAUCUACCAUCAAUAAAAGAGUCUGUGUAAAUGAAACGACACAGAGUCAAUGUAUCACAACAUCAUCGGUGAAGAAUGCUGAAUUUGAUUUAUUGUGUCAAGUCUGCUUUUUAAACUUAAGGAUACUUAUAUGUUAGACAAGGAAACAAAGGAAAAGAUGAACUCCUUAUCAAAUAAGUGCCUCAAUCAGCUUGAAUCUUUGCACAUUGAGCACGGCAAAAGUCUCACAACCAUUCAGAACCAAUUGGAAGUGUACCUUAUUAAGCAUUACAUCUAUUUACAAGGUAGGUGAGCAGGCAACACCGGAGAAAAGAGUUGUCGUUCCCUCUAUGAAUGUCAAUCUACAUGUAGAUGUUGGGGAAAGAUCAGAACCUCUACAGGCCGAAACCAAGACACUGCCACCACAUCAUUAGAAUACAGAUUGGCUUAGCAGGGCUCCCUUUGCAAACAUUAACUAAGAUGUUUGUAUCAACUUCUAUAGAUAGGGGAAAAUAACACCAGAUUGAAGUUGUAAUUGACCUCUCUUACUUACUAAAUAGUCUAUUAAUUGAACUUUUUGCAAGCUUGGCAACUAUAGCCUCUUGAAUAUAUAUGUGUCCUUCAUUUUCAGUAGAGUAGGUUGUCUGUUUUGGUGUUGAAUGUUUCAUGGGUUGAUAAUGGGAUUGUAAUAGUUACAUUUUAUUUUUGAGAUUUAGGGAAGAUUCAUAGUUACUACAGUGUUCUUGAUUGAUCUAUGGAUGCUU